rnacentral:rRNA from 1 species
CAGUCGCCGCGGUAAUACGGAGGGUGCAAGCGUUAAUCGGAAUUACUGGGCGUAAAGCGCACGCAGGCGGUCUGACAAGUCAGAUGUGAAAUCCCCGGGCUUAACCUGGGAACUGCAUUUGAAACUGUCAGGCUGGAGUCUUGUAGAGGGGGGUGGAAUUCCAGGUGUAGCGGUGAAAUGCGUAGAGAUCGGGAGGAAUACCGGUGGCGAAGGCGGCCCCCUGGACAAAGACUGACGCUCAGGUGCGAAAGCGUGGGGAGCAAACAGGAUUAGAUACCCCGGUAGUCCCUGUCUCUUAUAC